UGAGGAAUAUUGGUCAAUGGACGCAAGUCUGAACCAGCCAAGUAGCGUGCAGGAUGACGGCCCUAUGGGUUGUAAACUGCUUUUAUGCGGGGAUAAAGUGUGCCAUGUAUGGCAUUUUGUAGGUACCGCAUGAAUAAGGACCGGCUAAUUCCGUGCCAGCAGCCGCGGUAAUACGGAAGGUCCGGGCGUUAUCCGGAUUUAUUGGGUUUAAAGGGAGCGUAGGCCGUCGUUUAAGCGUGUUGUGAAAUGCCGCGGCUCAACCGUGGCACUGCAGCGCGAACUGGAUGACUUGAGUUCGCGGGAGGUAGGCGGAAUUCG
rnacentral:rRNA from 1 species